CCUCCCUCCCCUUCCUCUCGGUCCUCCCUUUCCACCCAAAUUUGCAGCCAGCCCCGCCGCAUCCUCACGAAAACUCCUCCCGCUGCACCUGAAAAAGGCGUCUAUUGACAAACUUGGCUGAAAGAAGCGAGGCGAGCCCUGGGCGAGGAGAUUUAGGAUCUGGAGCUCCAGGUCCUGUGUAAACCGUCCAGAGGAAGGGGGCGCGGGGGGGGGGAAACACCCGGAGAUACCGGAGGGAAGAAUUGGCUUGUUGGUUCGAUCAGCGAGCUGUGCGCAUCGCCUCGGCUCCCCUCCCGGUUCUCCUCCCCCCGCUCCGAUUCACACCCCCUUCGGCUCUAGCUGGGCUUGAGCUGGCAUCGCUCUGCACUGCAUGACAGCUCCAGGCUCCGAAGACGACGUAGCAGCCGGCAGUGGGAAGCCAAGCCCAGCUGAGGAAAAUCUGAGGAAGGCUACGCGCCGGGGAUCGGCGGGGGUGUGAGCCCAGAAGGCACCUUGCCCUGUCUGAUUCCCAGGGCGCUGCUGCCGCCGCCGCCGUCUCCUCCUCUUCCUCGUCUCCGAUUGCCUUUCGCUCCUGUUUAUAACCCCACCCCUGACCUUAUUCUCUGGCCGCCCAAGACUGAGCAGAAAGACAGAAUCCCAGAGAGAGAGAGAGAGAGAGAGAGAGAGAGAGAAAAUAGCACCGGGUCAAGGAGAAAUACCUGCGCAUCGCUAUUAGACUGCAAUUGAUGGGAGAUACACAUUUCUUUCUCUAGGGAAGCUGGUUACUUGCCCGCCCCCUUCUCUCUCUCUCUCUCUUUUAAAGAAAAGAAGCCGGUCGAAAGCAGAAAGGGGGAGAAAAGGGGGGCUUCUGCUCCAAAAGAGAAGAGAGGGCAGGGCAACGAAAGGAAUCGGGGAGAAUUUCGCCGAGCGUUUUCCCUCCCUUUGUUGAAUGAGAAGGACGGCGCCGGAUCACCAUGAGCACCAGCACAGUUCCUUUUCAACAAAACCCAUACAACUCUGGGGGUCGUCCCACCAUAAUUCAAUGCUAUCGCUGUGGAGAUACUUGUAAAGGCGAGGUGGUGCGUGUCCAGAACAAUCACUUCCACAUCAGAUGUUUCACAUGCCAGGUGUGUGGCUGUGACCUAGCUCAGUCUGGUUUCUUCUUUAAAAAUGGGGAAUACAUCUGCACCCACGACUACCAGCAGCUCUAUGGCACCCGCUGCGACAGCUGCCAAGACUUCAUCACUGGAGAGGUUAUCUCAGCCUUGGGCCGGACUUACCAUCCCAAGUGCUUUGUGUGCAGCAUGUGCAGGAAGCCCUUUCCUAUUGGAGAUAAAGUGACAUUUAGUGGCAAGGAUUGUGUUUGCCAAACUUGUUCCCAUUCACUGAUUAGUAACAAACCUAUCAAGAUUCAUGGACCAAGCCAAUGUGCAGGUUGCAAAGAGGAAAUCAAGCAAGGUCAGUCCCUCCUGGCUUUAGAAAAACAGUGGCAUGUCAGCUGCUUCAAGUGCCAAACCUGUGGAAUCAUCCUGACUGGAGAAUACAUUAGCAAGGAUAGUGUCCCAUACUGUGAAUCGGACUAUCAUGCCCAAUUUGGUAUUAAGUGCGAGACCUGCAACCGAUAUAUUAGCGGCAGAGUCCUAGAGGCAGGAGGAAAGCACUAUCAUCCCACUUGUGCCAGAUGUGUACGAUGUCACCAGAUGUUCACAGAAGGGGAAGAAAUGUACCUCACAGGUUCAGAAGUAUGGCAUCCUAUCUGCAAACAAGCAGCAAGAGCAGAAAAAAAGCUAAAGCACAGAAGAACGUCAGAGACAUCCAUAUCCCCUCCUGGCUCCAGCAUUGGUUCCCCCAACCGAGUCAUUUGUGCUAAAGUGGAUAAUGAAAUCCUUAAUUACAAAGAUUUGGCUGCUCUUCCCAAGAUUAAAGCCAUCUACGAGGUGCAACGCCCUGACCUCAUUUCUUAUGAGCCCUAUCACAGAUAUACUUCGGAUGAAACACUGGAGAGAUAUAGCUAUGGGGAGUCUCUUGGAACCUUGUCUCCAUAUUCUCAGGAUAUUUAUGAGAGCAUGGACAUCAGGCAGAGGCGAGCAUCCAGCCCAGGCUACAUAGAUUCACCCACCUACAGUCGCCAAGGCAUAUCUCCCACCAUCCCACGCUCUCCACAUCAUUAUUACCGCUCAGGGACAGAGAGUGGGCGCAGCUCCCCCUACUAUAGCCAAUUAGAUGUGAGGUCUUCUACACCAACCUCAUACCAAGCUCCUAAGCAUUUCCACAUUCCAGAUUCCCACCACCCCUCUUCAAGAAUGACAGCUGCUGCAGAGAGUAACAUCUAUCGGAAACCACCCAUCUAUAAAAGACACGAUUCCCACUCUGCAGCUACAAAAAGCAAAACUAGUGAAGACAUCACCCAGACCUCCAAAUAUAGUCCAGCUUAUUCUCCAGAUCCAUAUUAUCACUCUGAAACAGAGUAUUGGACUUUUCAAGGUUCACCCAAAGCUCCCCGAGUUCGAAGAUUCUCAUCAGGAGGAGAAGAAGAUAGCUUUGAUCGAGGGAUGCACAGAAUCCAGACAGGAAUUGGCCGAUUGAUACUGAAGGAAGAAAUGAAGGCCCGUGCUAAUUCAUACAUGGACCCUUGGACGCCUCCCCGCAGCUCAGCGAGCAGCAGAGAAGCUCUUCAUACAGCAGGCUACGAGGGCUCCUUAAAUGGCUCACCCCGAUCACACUACCUGGCAGACAGUGAUCCUCUCAUUUCAAAAUCCGCUUCUCUUCCUGCUUACAGAAGGAAUGGGCUGCAUAGGCCUCCCAGCGCUGAGCUCUUCCACUAUGACAGCACAAAUGCUGUCAACUGGGGGAUGCGAGAAUACAAGGUAACAUGCUCUCAAGAUCCUUAUGAGAUUUCUAGAAUCGUGGAUGCUCUUUCUUUGGAAAGCAGGAAGCUGUCACUAUACUAAAUAGCAACCAGGAAAAGCUGCAUUAAUAGCCAAGUUAAAAGAGAAUCUGAUCUUAUUCUCUUUUGCUUCUUUUGGUGCCAGGAGUAACAUCUAUUUGAAUAAAGGCAUCAUCAAUGCCUAUUUCUAAGUCAGGAGUUUCUAAAUCUUUUGCCACCAUGCUUCCCUUUAGUGUAGUCCUAAUGUACACCUCCCCUAAAAAUCUAAAUACCAAAAUGUACAGAUGAACAAUGAAAGCAUUGCAAGUUUCGUUGUAUUGUUUUCAUUGUGUUCAUUUUGGUGUUUGGAUGAUGGGUUUACUGUAAUAAAGUAACUGAACUACAUCCUUCACAUUCCCUUGGUCUCUGUCUGUACCUCCCCCAAAAAGGUACAUCUCACAGUUUGCGGAACCCAGUCCUUAACUAAACCCAGUCAUAAACUAACAUGGCCUUGGAAGAUACUGACUUUGAGUUAUGAAACUUUGGACUAAUAUAUAUGUGGAUGAUGCUGAGCUGAAUUUGAUGAUUUAGAAAGAAAUCUUAGUCGUCCUUAUAUUUGAGAUAUAUAAAAAAGAAUUGUUUGAUAAAAAAAUAAGAAUUGAAUGAAUGAAUAAAUGAAUGAAUGAACGAACGAACGAACGAACGAAUGAAUGAAGUCUUUGUGAAAAUGUGUGCUUUUGAAGAAUUAGAUCAAUAUAGUUGUGGAAAGACUGAGUGAGAGAAGGUAAAGUAUAAAAUGAAGUAAAGGACAGUUUUUGAGGAAUUAAGUAAAGGGUAUUAGAAGUCAAGAAAGGUGAAAAUAAAAAUGUUGCUCUACUUUGCUUCUAGUUUUUAUUUUUAACACUUGCUGGAACCUUCUUUUCUAUGUGCCAAGAACACUGACUGCCAUUCAAUUGCUAAUAAACAAAUGAAAACAAAUCAUUUCCCAUAGAUAUUACAAUUAUAUCCUAUCUGGGUUGUAAUAUCAUAAUUCACCUUCAGAUUCCUGGAUUCCCCUAACCUCUUCUGGUAACAAAUAUCUGGCCCUGUUGCUUUGAGGUAAUAUCAGCCUAAAUCAGAUUCUCCCAGAGCAUCUUCACAUUGAAAAAGUAUAAUUAGAGGUUAUAAAAUGUCUUCCUGCAAAUUAGCAUUUCGUGACCUGGUCCAGCUCAAAUAUCUUUGACUUUAGUUCCUAAAGUAUAUGCUGACAGAAAAGUAUAAUAAUUGAAAUUCAAUAUAUUUAAAAACUAUUAUGAUGUAUGAGCUAUACUGACUGGCAGGAUUUCAAACAGAAAUCUUUUCCUGAGGCUGACUGAGGCUGAGAAAUGAACUUGAUUUUUUUUAUAUAUGUAAAACAUGACCUUUGUUACUGAGCUCCAGUCUACCAUGUUCUACAAAGAAAGACAUUAUUUUAUUAUUAUUAAUAAUUACAGCAUAUUACUAAUAAUAUACUGAAUUAAGUAAAGAUAAAUUUCUGCAUCUUGGAAAGAACCGACCUACAACUAAGGAGGAAUUUCCUGACAGUGAGAACAAUUAAUCAGUGGAAUGACUUGCAAACAGAAGUUGUGGGUACUCCAAUACUGGAGGUCUUAAAAAGAGAUUGGGCAACCAUUUGUCUGAAGUAGUAUAAGGUUUCCUGCUUGAGCAGUGGGUUGUCUCUUCCAAUGUCCCUUCCAGCUCUGUUAUUUUGCUAUCAUUAUGGCAUCACUUGUGCUGUUGCUAUCCUGAGCAAAUAGAAACUGUAAAUAUCAGUGUUACACUGAAUAGAAUCAUUGUAUUAUAAUCAGAGAAAGCAGUAAUAUUCUCCAAAAAUAUUCUUGUACUUCUCUUAUGGCAUGUAUUAAAUUGUGAGUUGCCAGAUUCAUAUUACAAUUGGGAAGUGCUUAAAUCUAAUUAAAUUAGUAAAUAAAUAAAUAAUUUUUCAUACCCACCAGCAAAUUUACUCCGACUCCUUCCCAAAGCAGUCUGGGAACCCUGCAAUGAUUACGGUAUCUUCACUUCUACUGAUUGCAAAACGCAGAAAAAAUGUAGGGAAUCAGUACUCACUCUCUUUCUUCAUAGCUGAUUAAUAGGAGAUGAAAAAUAAGACAUCCUACCAAUGUCCCAACUGCUAUCAUGGGUCGUGGUGUAAUAAAAAUCACAUUGUCACCAUGUCACACAGAAAAGGAAACAAAUUAGUAGCAUCUCAACCCAUAUUUUACAGUAUGUGAAAUCGCUUAGUGUUUCCAAAACAAAGAAUCCCAAAAGGUUAUAAUGGAAAACUAUCUGAAGAUGAUUUCUUUAAAACGUAAAGAAAAAUGCUGGUUCCCUCUAAAGGCUUCCUGACCAUCUUCCACUAUUCCUCUAUGGCAAUUUAAAAAAUGACAAUUAAAAAAAAAACCUCUGAAUUUGUAAAGGUGAAAUGUUAAGCAUGCUGGCAAUUUUACAACCUUUCCAACAGAACACUGUUGGACACAGGAUGCUAAAUCUCUAUGAGCAGAACUUAAGGAUAGGUACUAGAAAGCAGUAGUAGACAAGCAUUUUGUCCAAAGGGAAAAUGGACUACUUAUAAAUUUUACAGAGUUGCUGCAUUUCAAUAGGUAGGAAAUGCCAGCAUUGCUGUGAUUUCCAAUAAACUGGAAUAGAUUCAAAAAUUAAUAAACUCACUUCCCAACAUAAAAAGUAUUGUGAGAUUGAUUGGAUCCAAGGCUAAAUCCUAAAAUGAUGCAAAGUGCUGGUGUGGAAGCCUCCAUACAUUUUCUCAAAACUAUGUUCAACUGAUUCUUAUUUUUCUGAUUCUUUCAUCCAGCAUCAUAUUUUUCCCCCUUUCUUUUGUAGAUAUACCCUUAUGAGUUGCUUUUGGUGACAACUAGGGGAAAAAAUCGCUUGCCCAAAGAUGCGGACAGAACUCGGUUAGAGCGCCAUCUGUCCCCAGAGGAAUUUUACCAGGUGUUUGGCAUGACUAUUGCUGAAUUUGAUCGCCUGGCUUUGUGGAAAAGAAAUGAGUUGAAGAAGCAGGCUCGGCUAUUUUGAAAACAGUAUAUACAAAAACUAUAUA